AUUGAACGCUGGCGGCAGGCCUAACACAUGCAAGUCGAGCGGAUGAAGAGAGCUUGCUCUCUGAUUCAGCGGCGGACGGGUGAGUAAUGCCUAGGAAUCUGCCUGGUAGUGGGGGACAACGUUUCGAAAGGAACGCUAAUACCGCAUACGUCCUACGGGAGAAAGCAGGGGACCUUCGGGCCUUGCGCUAUCAGAUGAGCCUAGGUCGGAUUAGCUAGUAGGUGGGGUAAUGGCCCACCUAGGCGACGAUCCGUAACUGGUCCGAGAGGAUGAGCAGUCACACUGGAACUGAGACACGGUCCAGACUCCUACGGGAGGCAGCAGUGGGGAAUAUUGGACAAUGGGCGAAAGCCUGAUCCAGCCAUGCCGCGUGUGUGAAGAAGGUCUUCGGAUUGUAAAGCACUUUAAGUUGGGAGGAAGGGCAGUAAGUUAAUACCUUGCUGUUUUGACGUUACCAACAGAAUAAGCACCGGCUAACUUCGUGCCAGCCGCCGCCGUAACAC
rnacentral:rRNA from 1 species